GUUAUAUGGUCAAGUGAAGAAGCGCAUACGGUGGAUGCCUUGGCAGUCAGAGGCGAUGAAAGACGUGGUAGCCUGCGAAAAGCUUCGGGGAGUCGGCAAACAGACUUUGAUCCGGAGAUGUCUGAAUGGGGGAACCCAGCCAUCAUAAGAUGGUUAUCUUACGCUGAAUACAUAGGCGUAAGAGGCGAACCAGGGGAACUGAAACAUCUAAGUACCCUGAGGAAAAGAAAUCAACCGAGAUUCCCUUAGUAGUGGCGAGCGAACGGGGACUAGCCCUUAAGUGGCUUUGAGAUUAGCGGAACGCUCUGGAAAGUGCGGCCAUAGUGGGUGAUAGCCCUGUACGCGAAAAUCUCUUAGUCAUGAAAUCGAGUAGGACGGAGCACGAGAAACUUUGUCUGAAUAUGGGGGGACCAUCCUCCAAGGCUAAAUACUACUGACUGACCGAUAGUGAACUAGUACCGUGAGGGAAAGGCGAAAAGAACCCCGGAGAGGGGAGUGAAAUAGAUCCUGAAACCGUAUGCGUACAAGCAGUGGGAGCCCACUUUGUUGGGUGACUGCGUACCUUUUGUAUAAUGGGUCAGCGACUUAUUUUCAGUGGCGAGCUUAACCGAAUAGGGGAGGCGUAGCGAAAGCGAGUCUUAAUAGGGCGUCUAGUCGCUGGGAAUAGACCCGAAACCGGGCGAUCUAUCCAUGGGCAGGUUGAAGGUUGGGUAACACUAACUGGAGGACCGAACCGACUACCGUUGAAAAGUUAGCGGAUGACCUGUGGAUCGGAGUGAAAGGCUAAUCAAGCUCGGAGAUAGCUGGUUCUCCUCGAAAGCUAUUUAGGUAGCGCCUCAUGUAUCACUGUAGGGGGUAGAGCACUGUUUCGGCUAGGGGGUCAUCCCGACUUACCAAACCGAUGCAAACUCCGAAUACCUACAAGUGCCGAGCAUGGGAGACACACGGCGGGUGCUAACGUCCGUCGUGAAAAGGGAAACAACCCAGACCGUCAGCUAAGGUCCCAAAGUUAUGGUUAAGUGGGAAACGAUGUGGGAAGGCUUAGACAGCUAGGAGGUUGGCUUAGAAGCAGCCACCCUUUAAAGAAAGCGUAAUAGCUCACUAGUCGAGUCGGCCUGCGCGGAAGAUGUAACGGGGCUCAAACCAUACACCGAAGCUACGGGUAUCACGUAAGUGAUGCGGUAGAGGAGCGUUCUGUAAGCCUGUGAAGGUGAGUUGAGAAGCUUGCUGGAGGUAUCAGAAGUGCGAAUGCUGACAUGAGUAACGACAAUGGGUGUGAAAAACACCCACGCCGAAAGACCAAGGUUUCCUGCGCAACGUUAAUCGACGCAGGGUUAGUCGGUCCCUAAGGCGAGGCUGAAAAGCGUAGUCGAUGGAAAACAGGUUAAUAUUCCUGUACUUCUGGUUAUUGCGAUGGAGGGACGGAGAAGGCUAGGCCAGCUUGGCGUUGGUUGUCCAAGUUUAAGGUGGUAGGCUGAGAUCUUAGGUAAAUCCGGGAUCUUAAGGCCGAGAGCUGAUGACGAGUUGUCUUUUAGAUGACGAAGUGGUUGAUGCCAUGCUUCCAAGAAAAGCUUCUAAGCUUCAGGUAACCAGGAACCGUACCCCAAACCGACACAGGUGGUUGGGUAGAGAAUACCAAGGCGCUUGAGAGAACUCGGGUGAAGGAACUAGGCAAAAUGGCACCGUAACUUCGGGAGAAGGUGCGCCGGUGAGGGUGAAGGACUUGCUCCGUAAGCUCAUGCCGGUCGAAGAUACCAGGCCGCUGCGACUGUUUAUUAAAAACACAGCACUCUGCAAACACGAAAGUGGACGUAUAGGGUGUGACGCCUGCCCGGUGCCGGAAGGUUAAUUGAUGGGGUUAGCUAACGCGAAGCUCUUGAUCGAAGCCCCGGUAAACGGCGGCCGUAACUAUAACGGUCCUAAGGUAGCGAAAUUCCUUGUCGGGUAAGUUCCGACCUGCACGAAUGGCGUAACGAUGGCGGCGCUGUCUCCACCCGAGACUCAGUGAAAUUGAAAUCGCUGUGAAGAUGCAGUGUAUCCGCGGCUAGACGGAAAGACCCCGUGAACCUUUACUAUAGCUUUGCACUGGACUUUGAAUUUGCUUGUGUAGGAUAGGUGGGAGGCUUUGAAGCGUGGACGCCAGUCUGCGUGGAGCCAACCUUGAAAUACCACCCUGGCAACUUUGAGGUUCUAACUCAGGUCCGUUAUCCGGAUCGAGGACAGUGUAUGGUGGGUAGUUUGACUGGGGCGGUCUCCUCCUAAAGAGUAACGGAGGAGUACGAAGGUGCGCUCAGACCGGUCGGAAAUCGGUCGUAGAGUAUAAAGGCAAAAGCGCGCUUGACUGCGAGACAGACACGUCGAGCAGGUACGAAAGUAGGUCUUAGUGAUCCGGUGGUUCUGUAUGGAAGGGCCAUCGCUCAACGGAUAAAAGGUACUCCGGGGAUAACAGGCUGAUACCGCCCAAGAGUUCAUAUCGACGGCGGUGUUUGGCACCUCGAUGUCGGCUCAUCACAUCCUGGGGCUGAAGCCGGUCCCAAGGGUAUGGCUGUUCGCCAUUUAAAGUGGUACGCGAGCUGGGUUUAGAACGUCGUGAGACAGUUCGGUCCCUAUCUGCCGUGGACGUUUGAGAUUUGAGAGGGGCUGCUCCUAGUACGAGAGGACCGGAGUGGACGAACCUCUGGUGUUCCGGUUGUCACGCCAGUGGCAUUGCCGGGUAGCUAUGUUCGGAAUAGAUAACCGCUGAAAGCAUCUAAGCGGGAAACUAGCCUCAAGAUGAGAUCUCACUGGAACCUUGAGUUCCCUGAAGGGCCGUCGAAGACUACGACGUUGAUAGGUUGGGUGUGUAAGCGCUGUGAGGCGUUGAGCUAACCAAUACUAAUUGCCCGUGAGGCUUGACCAUAUAACACCCAAGCAAUU
rnacentral:rRNA from 1 species